GUUGUUAUAAAUAGUGUUCCUAAAACUGAACCAUCAAUCGGCAAGUAAGAGAGAAUGGCAAAUUGUGAUGGGAGAAGGAUUGCAAUAAUUGGAGGUGGAAUUAGCGGUCUCUUGGCCUGUAAAUAUGCAAUUUCUAAAGGAUUUGAUCCAAUUGUGUUCGAGUCAGAAAGUAGCAUCGGAGGUGUUUGGAGCAAGACGAUUGAGAGCACUAAACUGCAGACACCAAAACCCCUUUACCAAUUCUCUGAUUUUCCAUGGCCAGAUUCCGUAACCCAAGUGUUCCCCGAUCAACACACCGUGUUGGAGUACAUUAAAUCCUAUGCACGUCACUUUGAUUUGGUGAGACACAUUCAGUUCAAUAACAAAGUAUUGAGCCUUAGCUAUGAAGAUGAAGAUGAUAGAGAAUGGAUGUCUAAAGGCAAAUGGAACGUCACUGUACAACAAACUCAAACCCUAUCCACAAAGGUAUACCAAGUCGAUUAUGUAGUAGUUUGUGUGGGAAGGUUCAGUCAAGUUCCAAACAUUCCUGAAUUCCCUGAAAACAAAGGUCCUGAAGCUUUUGAAGGGAAAGUAAUCCAUUCAAUGGAUUAUUCAAAGAUGGACUCCACAACUGCAACCGAGUUUGUCAAAGGAAAACAUGUAGCGGUCGUUGGAUUCCAAAAAUCAGGACUGGACAUUGCCAUGGAGUCCUCCACAGUAAAUGGGGUUGAACGUCCGUGCACCGUAGUAGUCAGGACACCACAUUGGAACGUUCCUGAUUAUUUCCCUUGGGGAUUCCCAAUGGCAAAACUCUAUUUGAAUAGAUUCUCAGAACUUACAGUGCAUAAACCUGGUGAAGGCCUUCUUUUAUAUCUCAUUGCUACAAUUCUCUCGCCUCUGAGGUGGGGCUUCUCAAAGUUUGUGGAAAGCUAUAUAAAACACAAGCUCAGGCUUUCAAAGCACGGGAUGGUGCCAGAUCAUAGUUUCUUAAACGAAUUGAGUGCCUGCUUAAUUUCUACAGUGCCUCAGGGCUUCUACGACAGAGUUGAGGAAGGACGUCUCAAACUAAAGAAAGCCAAGAGUUUUGGAUUUACCAAACAAGGCAUUGUGCUAGAGGGUCAGGCUGAACCCAUUAAAUCUGACUUAGUCAUACUCGCCACAGGCUUCAGGGGAAUUGAUAAGCUCAAACACAUUUUUCUAUCAACAAAAUAUCAAGAAUUCAUAGCAGGCUCAGAUGAUUUUGCUACCGUUCCCCUUUA
rnacentral:misc_RNA from 1 species